rnacentral:rRNA from 1 species
UACUAAUAGUAAUAAUUAUUAGCAAUUUCUGCUCAAUGAAACUAAAUAGCCGCAAUUUAUGUGCUAAGGUAGCAUAAUCACUUGUCUUAUAAUUCAAGACUAGAAUGAAUGAAUUAACAUUUUAAUUUUUUUCCAAAAAUUAAAUAAUUAAAUUAUUUUAAAUGUUAUAAAACAUUUAUAAAAAAGAUAGACGAUAAGACCCUAUUGAACUUUACUUAAGUUUAAUUGGGGAAAUUAAUUAAAUAUUAUUUUAAAACUAUUAUAAUUUUAAAAACCUAAUACAAUUAAUUUAAAUCAAGUUACCAUAGGGAUAACAGCAUAAUAUAAUCUCUAAGACCUUAUUAUAAAUUAUUUUAUGACCUCGGAUGUUGAAUAUUUACCUAAAAAAAGCAAUCACUUUUAAAGGAAGUCUGUUCGACUUUUAAAAUUUUACA